rnacentral:tRNA from 1 species
GGGCGAGUGGUGAAAUGGUAUACACGCAGCCUUGAGGUGGCUGUGAGCGAAAGCUCGUGGAGGUUCAACUCCUCUCUCGCCCA